rnacentral:rRNA from 1 species
AGCGAACGCUGGCGGCAGGCCUAACACAUGCAAGUCGAACGAACUCUUCGGAGUUAGUGGCGGACGGGUGAGUAACACGUGGGAACGUGCCUUUAGGUUCGGAAUAACUCAGGGAAACUCGAGCUAAUACCGGAUGUGCCCUUCGGGGGAAAGAUUUAUCGCCUUUAGAGCGGCCCGCGUCUGAUUAGCUAGUUGGUGAGGUAAAGGCUCACCAAGGCGACGAUCAGUAGCUGGUCUGAGAGGAUGAUCAGCCACAUUGGGACUGAGACACGGCCCAAACUCCUACGGGAGGCAGCAGUGGGGAAUCUUGCGCAAUGGGGGAAAGCCUGACGCAGCCAUGCCGCGUGAAUGAUGAAGGUCUUAGGAUUGUAAAAUUCUUUCACCGGGGACGAUAAUGACGGUACCCGGAGAGGAAGCCCCGGCUAACUCUGUGCCAGCAGCCGCCGUAAUAC